rnacentral:rRNA from 1 species
AAUCAACGCUGGCGGCGCGCUUAACACAUGCAAGUCGAGCGAGAAAGGGGAGCAAUCCCUGAGUACAGCGGCGUACGGGUGAGUAACACGUGGGUGAUCUACCUUCUAGUGUGGAAUAACCCUGGGAAACCGGGCUAAUACCGCAUAAGCCUGUGAAGGGAAGCAGCAAUGCGCUGGAAGAGGAGCCCGCGGCCGAUUAGCUAGUUGGUGAGGUAACGGCCCACAAGGCGAUGAUCGGUAGCCGGCCUGAGAGGGCACACGGCCACACUGGCACUGAAACACGGGCCAGACUCCUACGGGAGCAGCAGUGGGGAAUCUUGCACAAUGGAGGCAACUCUGAUG